rnacentral:rRNA from 1 species
CACUUGCAUUUUCCCAAGCUUUGACAGAGCGACGCUGCGUGAGCUCUGAAGGCCUUAUUGGUUGUAAGUGAAAGAAAGUGGGCCGGAAAGGAGGAGGUAAAGGGCCAAAGGAGAAGACCCCCCCCUGAGAGGAAGUUAGGGCUUGAUCCGGGCACACAGGGGGGCAGGCCCUUUUUUUUGGGGGUGCUCAGCGUUUUUAGGGAACUCCAUUUGCGGAGUCCGGCUCGCUGGGUCAGAGGGGGAAGCUGCCGACUUACCCCCCCCUUUGCCUCUGACACUGUUUUGAGUGACCCCGUCACAUCAGAGUGGAUUUCGUGGUCUAGCGAAACAAGGCGAAAAUGUGUGUUGGAAUUGAGGGGCCCAGGAAAGUUUCGGCCUGGGUACUCUCGUUAAGCCCGUAGGGAGGCGGAGCCACAGAGAUUUUAGACGGCGGGGACCCACCCCCAACCCCCCCCCUUGGCGUUGAAGCUUUUUUUGGUUUAAGGGCCGGGCAAAGGAAUAGAACCCAAGAAUGGGAAAUCUUUCGGAUGUUGGGCCCCUUGGGGGGGGCGCGGUAAGCACCCCGAAAAAACAGGGUUUUACACCCAGUCACAGGGUUUAACGUACCGGGGCUGAAAUGGGGGGACGGGGGUGAAACAACUUUUGGUGGAAAUCCCGGACACACCGAAAUUUUGUGGUAACCCCUUUGUUAAACCGGGGGGAGACCGGGAUCCGCGCGAACCGGGGCAUAGGGGAAUUAAGGGGAAAACAGUGUAAGAGGCUUUUUUUGCUAACCCGGGAAUUAAGGCAUAAAGCCUGGCUAUUAACCUUAAUACCCCCCGUAAACCUGCAAAAACCUGGCCAAGGGUUUGUACUGAGUUACCCCUUUACCCCAAAUACAAAUUUUUUCCACUGGGGGAAAAUAAUAAGUGUGGCCCCCGGUUGGGGGGGCACAAAUCACCGGGGAUUUUGUUAAUCUCCCCCCCCCUAACCUUAUCGGCCCUUUUUUUGGCCCCAUGUGUGAAACCCUUUUUUUGGGAGAAUGGGGGAGAGGGCGUGAGGGGAUGGGCACAACCCCCCUUU